UUGUAAGAUGAGAUACAUAUAGCCUUUUUAUUAAAUGUCAGUCGUGAUCUGAUUAUAUCAUCACGUCUGUUUAUAUGCAAUAAAAAAGAACCUGAUCAUACGAUUCAGGUUCUUUUUUUG
rnacentral:sRNA from 1 species